GCGGGCUUCGGCCUGGYGGCGAGUGGCGAACGGGUGAGUAAUACAUCGGAACGUGCCCUGUCGUGGGGGAUAACUAGUCGAAAGAUUAGCUAAUACCGCAUACGACCUGAGGGUGAAAGCGGGGGACCGCAAGGCCUCGCGCGACAGGAGCGGCCGAUGUCUGAUUAGCUAGUUGGUGGGGUAAAAGCCUACCAAGGCGACGAUCAGUAGCUGGUCUGAGAGGACGAUCAGCCACACUGGGACUGAGACACGGCCCAGACUCCUACGGGAGGCAGCAGUGGGGAAUUUUGGACAAUGGGGGCAACCCUGAUCCAGCAAUGCCGCGUGUGUGAAGAAGGCCUUCGGGUUGUAAAGCACUUUUGUCCGGAAAGAAAUGGCCCUGGCUAAUACCCGGGGUCGAUGACGGUACCGGAAGAAUAAGCACCGGCUAACUACGUGCCAGCAGCCGCGGUAAUACGUAGGGUGCGAGCGUUAAUCGGAAUUACUGGGCGUAAAGCGUGCGCAGGCGGUUUGAUAAGACAGGCGUGAAAUCCCCGAGCUCAACUUGGGAAUGGCGCUUGUGACUGUCAGGCUAGAGUAUGUCAGAGGGGGGUAGAAUUCCACGUGUAG
rnacentral:rRNA from 1 species